rnacentral:lncRNA from 1 species
UCAGACUCAUACUGCAAAACCUUAUGGAAAAACUCACUUGAAAAAUUUCCUGCAAGUGAUUCUUUGAGAAAGCAAAUCCAAAUUGGUCUUCUUCUAUGCAACUAGACACAACAAUCUGGAUUUUCUUCUAGACUCCAAAUGCAGUAUGACUUCUGCAUUUCCAUAAAUCCCAGUUGUAUCUCCCAGUAUUUGAGACCACACUUUUAUCGUGCUAUAAGCACAACAGCUUCAUUCUUCUUGAAGUGAUUAACUCUGAAACAAUCCUUGCAUUGAUCACUUGCAACUGUUUCUUUCACUUUCUCUUCCCAAAAUUCUCUUUAAAAGAACGAAUUGAGAACUUUGAAUGUACCUCGUCUCAAAAAAAAACAUACUUUUAUAAACUCUGAUUCUUUAGAGAUCCAGCAGUACUUCAAUACUCUUUAUCAAAAUCUCAAGCUUCUUCUCAUACCCGAUAACACAUCUUCUUUGUCAUCAAAUGAGACCAUACACAGCUUGACCCUUUUGAUAAUCCCCUGUUCUUGAUCUCUUGGUCUUUCUUCCUCACGAAAAUUCCAUGAUUCUUCUUUUAACAGUGAGCUCCACAUGUUUAACUUCCUUCUUUGAACCAUCAUAUGCUCAGAUUUCUUAGAAAAUACUGACAACACAUAUGUGAAGAAACCGACUGCAGUAAAUCAUUGCUUCACGAUGGCAUGAUAUACCAUUGACCUUAGGAGAUGGAGUUUGCAACCAACGUUUCUAGAGAUCUACAAUUUGAAUGUUAAUUGAAAUGCUUUUGGUUCAUCACUCUGUUCUGUGUUAUUGUAAAGGCUGGAUAAGGAUUGUAUGCAUUUGUAUAUAGGUUUCUCCAUGGCAUGAUAUACCAUUGACCUUAGGAGAUGGAGUUUUCAACUUUAUAGUUGAAAUACCUAAAGAGUCG